rnacentral:sRNA from 1 species
GAUUCUUUAUAUAUACAACAAGGAAUCACCAUGCUUCUGCUCCAGUUUGGCCUCCAUAAGCUGCUCAGCAAUUUUGAUCGGGGAUUGGAUUUCCUCACCUUGACUGUGAACCAGCAAAGUAUUUGCGUUGGACGCCAUACAUUUUCGCUGACGUUGAUGAAAUGACGUCUUGGGUUAUUUCCACGCCACCACUCGCACGUGAUUUGGCCAGCGUGCACCGAAUAUCUUGGUUUCAUUGGAGUUUUGGAAUUUUCGGCGGAUCUGCGGUUCAAUGGCGUGAUGGGUGCCACACCAUGCUCAGACAUCUUAAUGAACACCGGGACGCGCUAAUCAACAGCCAAUUAACACCUGAUGAGUGCAGCGUUCGCAGAUUGCGUAUCCGCCACCGAUACCCACUCGCCGCAGUUUCGUAUGCAAAUGGCUCUGUGCGGCAGAUAAGAUAAGCAGCAACGUGGCUAGCCGGCCGUUAGCACUUUGAGCUGCUUUAAUUAGCGCGGACGUGCCUCCGUUUCCAUUCAUUGCUAUCAACAAAAUCAUUAAAGAAUCGAAUCAAUUGUUCCUGACGCACGCGCCGACAUCUCUAGCCCCCAAAAAAAAAAGAGCCAAGUGGCGAUGAUGCUUUCGCCGCCCGAUGAUCAUCAUCAUCAUCAUCCUAGAAGCUUCAUCAGCAGACCCACGUACGUCACAUGGCCAACGUGACUGUGGUCAGUUCAAGAAAGAAAGCGAUGGGUACUAGACGUCGCCAUUCGCCUCGCCUGGCAACAAGAUAUUAGUCCCCACAUUUAUGUCAGCACCCACGGAAUGUUAUGAAAUCCAUAUAUAUAUAUUGCGGAUCGGGAAAGUUGGGCGCCGUGUGACUUUGGAGCCACGCUCCUUCCUCGGAGUGCGAAAUGCGAAAACCUCCAAAGCUGCCAAGGUGAAUUGCUUGUGAAAAUCUUGACAAGCUGCGAGGUCUAGCAAAUGGAGCGGGUAAUUGGGCCAGCAUGUGAUUAAUGAAUGACUCUUUCCGACUGGAAAUUGCCAUCACGGAGAAAAUAAUCAGUAUUGCCAAGAUAAGCCACUGUUCUUACGAUGAGAUAGUUCCAGCACAGUCGGUCUUCAUGUUCUACAUGUAUUAGUAUUAUCAGUUCAUGCUUCUUUUCUAUAUAGACGUAUCAGUAUCAACCACUAGUUUUCUGAUGAAUUAGUCCGAAUAGUGAAUAUAAGCAACAUACUGUUGCGAAAUUCCAGCUAAGCUUUUAGACCCAUUUGAAUUACCCACAAAACAGGUUCUCCAAUCGGAACUCCCAACUGUUUGAACUGACCGCCCCGAUAUGAUUCAGCACCAGAUGUGAGUCCUCUGCGAUGAGAAUCCAAAUAUAUAUAUCUUCACCUGGGGAAUGCAGUUCUUUGUAGCUCCUUUCUACAUCCAAACGAGCCUCUUUUCCCAUAUAUGUUAUAUUGCCUGCGAAUUGAUUUAAAUAAAAAGCUGGUUCGCAACUGGAGGCGACUCCUCCUCCGGCGAAACCACAAAAAUGUGCUGGGAUAUAAUG